GCUGAAUCAAGACUGUCAAAACAACGGGUGGAGUCACAUUGGCGGCAAGCUUUCCAUGAUUGAGGUGGCAACUGAUGGUAGAGUCUUUGGGGUCACCUCUGCAGGCCAUGUUUAUACCAGAGACGGCAUCACAGCCAGUAAACCAGAGGGCACUGGAUGGAGCCAUGUCUCAAUGUGCAUGCGCAUGGGCCACGUGACCUAUGACCUGGGCCGUCUUUGGGCGGUCUCCAAGUCUGGAGUCACCAUGGUGUGCACACCUUAGCCUCUCCUCUGCAUCUGAUGACCGUUGGGGAUCUGUCUAAAGUUCACUUGCUAACUCAUCGAUCUCUCUUUCUGGAACAGCCUUCUGCUUGAGAAUGCCCAACAUUAGUUCAUAAGAAUCCUUCAUUCUAAAACCUAAUACUAACUAUACUUUUCAGUACUUUAUCUCUGUCAAUAGUCAUCACUGAUCUUAAUGAUCUUGCUUCAGAGGUUAUUCAUAAAGAUGGAUGGAAUCCUUUUUAAUGCUUAUUAUCUCAUUAUAUAAUAAUUUCCCGCAAAAAUAAAGCAUUCAGUUUGAAGCUA